UUUUCUUGAAUUGGCUUUAUAAGCUUUAAUUAAUAUAUGUAUGAUUGGUGGGUGGCUUCUUUUACUCUUCUUAUUUUCCUUUAGAUUAUAUGUAAUGGUUAAUUUUAGCUUUACUCCAUAUCUUUCAAAAAAGCUUCUAGCUUCAGCAACAUCUAAUAUCCCUCUAUCAACCCAAAUUCUUCCAAUAUAUCUAUAGUGAC
rnacentral:lncRNA from 1 species